rnacentral:rRNA from 1 species
UACGUAGGGUGCGAGCGUUAAUCGGAAUUACUGGGCGUAAAGCGUGCGCAGGCGGCUUUGCAAGACAGAUGUGAAAUCCCCGGGCUUAACCUGGGAACUGCAUUUGUGACUGCAUGGCUCGAGUGCGGCAGAGGGGGAUGGAAUUCCGCGUGUAGCAGUGAAAUGCGUAGAUAUGCGGAGGAACACCGAUGGCGAAGGCAAUCCCCUGGGCCUGCACUGACGCUCAUGCACGAAAGCGUGGGGAGCAAACAGG